rnacentral:rRNA from 1 species
GACGAACGCUGGCGGCGUGCUUAACACAUGCAAGUCGAACGGAAAGGCCCUGCUUUUGUGGGGUGCUCGAGUGGCGAACGGGUGAGUAACACGUGAGUAACCUGCCCUUGACUUUGGGAUAACUUCAGGAAACUGGGGCUAAUACCGGAUAGGAGCUCCUGCUGCAUGGUGGGGGUUGGAAAGUUUCGGCGGUUGGGGAUGGACUCGCGGCUUAUCAGCUUGUUGGUGGGGUAGUGGCUUACCAAGGCGUUGACGGGUAGCCGGCCUGAGAGGGUGACCGGGCACAAUGGGACUGAGAGACGGCCAAGGAGCCGACGGGAGGAAGCAGUGGGGAAGUGUGACCAGCGGGCGCGAGCCGUAUGAGGCGACCCCGUGUGGGGGAUGACGGACUUCGGGUUGGAAAAAGCAUUAGGCAGGGACGAAGCGGUAGUGACGGUAAUUGAUAAAGAAGCACCGGCUAACUACGUG